ensembl:snoRNA
AGUCGCUGAUGAACAGAGUUUAAGAGUAGUGGACAGAAGCGAUUUCUGAGCUUUGAAACUACUGAGGCU